rnacentral:rRNA from 1 species
UAUCUCUGUAGAGUCUGCAUAUCAAUAAGCGGAGGAAAAGAAACUAACAAGGAUUCCCCUAGUAACGGCGAGUGAAGCGGGAAGAGCUCAAAUUUGAAAUCUUCAAGGUUUGACCUUGACGAAUUGUAGUUUAAAGAAGUGUUUUCGGUUAGAGGAGUAGUAAAAGUUCUUUGGAAUAGGACAUCAUAGAGGGUGAGAAUCCCGUAUUUGACUAUUCUUUCUAGCUUUGUGAUACACUUUCAAAGAGUCGGAUUGUUUGGGAAUGCAGUCCAAAAUGGGUGGUAAAUUUCAUCUAAAGCUAAAUAUUGGCGAGAGACCGAUAGCGAACAAGUACCGUGAGGGAAAGAUGAAAAGAACUUUGAAAAGAGAGUUAAACAGUACGUGAAAUUGUCAAAAGGGAAGCGUUUGACACCAGUGUUGUUUUUCCGAAAAUCAAUUAAAAAUUGAUUCAUGCCAGGUUGUAUUGACCUUAUCAGCUUGCAAUUUGGUUUUGGGUCUCUUUUUGAUGCACUUUUCGGUUAACAAGUCAACAUCAAUUUCCUUUGCUGUAAAAAGGUAAGAGGAAGGUGGCUUCAAUUUCGGUUGAAGUGUUUAUAGCCUUUUAUCUCUGCAAUCGGGGAGAUUGAGGUCUGCAGCGUAGAUCCUUCGGGGCUAGAUACAUUUAUGCUAAGUUAUAGCUUUUCAUAGACAACUUGUUGACUAUGUUUAGUCAUGUAGCUUACUCGUAAGUGCUAUUUUACCUACGCUUAGGAUGUUGAAGACUCUACAGAGAUA